rnacentral:rRNA from 1 species
CCUACGGGUGGCAGCAGUGAGGAAUAUUGGUCAAUGGACGAGAGUCUGAACCAGCCAAGUAGCGUGAAGGAUGAAUGCCCUAUGGGUUGUAAACUUCUUUUAUAAAGGAAUAAAACGAGGCACGUGUGCCCUUUUGCAUGUACUUUAUGAAUAAGGAUCGGCUAACUCCGUGCCAGCAGCCGCGGUAAUACGGAGGAUCCGAGCGUUAUCCGGAUUUAUUGGGUUUAAAGGGAGCGUAGAUGGGUUGUUAAGUCAGUUGUGAAAGUCUGCGGCUCAACCGUAAAAUUGCAAUUGAUACUGGCAGUCUUGAGUACAGUUGAGGUAGGCGGAAUUCGUGGUGUAGCGGUGAAAUGCUUAGAUAUCACGAAGAACCCCGAUUGCGAAGGCAGCUUACUAAACUGUGACUGACAUUGAUGCUCGAAAGUGUGGGUAUCAAACAGGAUUAGAUACCCCGGUAGUC